GAUAGCAAUACUCAAGAAUUGUUUUAUUUAUAAAUCUGUUGAAUGUCAUGGUUUCCAGAAAUGCUUCAUCAUUGAACGCAUACAUGGUACGCAUCUUCUCUACUUGUCAUAUUGAAUUACGAAAUAAAAUAAUCUCUCUUCUAAUUGAACGAGUAGCCAACGUACUCUUGGUGCAGCACAUAAAGUUGAAGAAAAGUUAUCUCCGGCAUAACAACGCAGCAUCUACCAAUAUAGAGGAAGUGAUAUCAUCAAUGUCAAUAUGCCGACAUAUUUACGUCGCAUUUUACAUCUGUGGGACCCAGCCUUUAAUGCUUCUUUCAUGACAAAAUUUUAUAAUGUUUAAAAAAGUAAAUUUAUUUUACCAGUUAUAAACUCCCUUUAGUGAAAAAAAUAUAGAAAAAUUACUAUUAUUGAUAUAAGAAUUUUGCUGCUUUUGCU
rnacentral:lncRNA from 1 species